rnacentral:lncRNA from 1 species
AUGUCCACACAAGAGACAGAAUUAUCCAGUAGUCAGGAGAAGGUGGGUUUGAAAAGAAAACUGACGGGUCCCCCGAGACUUUUGCUGGGGAAGUCAAAAUCAAUGGAGAAACUGGAAGGUAGAUCUCAGAGAAGGCAAAGACAUGCUAAAAGUUGUGAUGGCACAGCAGAGAAUACUUAUCAAGAUAAUGAUGGAAAUCAGCCCUCACUUGUUACCCACCACAGCCCUCAAAAACCCUCAGAGGAGAAGGAAUCCCGAUCAGCUGCUCCAGAAGAUACCUCAGGAAUUCUUGUAACAUUGGAGCAGAGUGAAAGCAAAGAUGAAAAUAUGGAAAGUAAAACAAAAAUAACCAGAAGCACUUCAAAAUCAUCCAUUAAAAGGACGUUUUCCUCACUCCUAAGAUGUGGAAAGAUGAAGGAAUCAGAUAGAACUGAAAACGAGACUUUGAAUCCUCAAAAAACAAAGAAGAACAGAAACAAAGCUCAACAGUGUAACUCCAUGGAUGAGAAUAAACUGAGUGCAAACAAGGAAGUUCCUAAUGGGAAAAGUAAAACUAGGGCCUUCUUCUCAGUGUGGCCCAUUUCUAAGAGAUCUACCACAUCCAAAGUAAAUCUACAUGUAGGAAGGGGAUGCAGAGAGCAAGACAAUAGCAUGGUUUUUCACGAGAUAACGGCACCAAAAGGUUUGACAUUUAAAAAGAUCUACCAAAUCUUUCCAAGAAGAAAGAAAGCAUCUCCUAUUGAUCAGUUUGAGUGUAAUGCUUCCAGUGCGUCACACACAGAAGUAGCCGAUCAACUGAAUCAAUCACCUGCGGCUGCUUUGGACAUUUCCAGUGUCACAAAAGAAGAGAACCGAAAGAAAGAACAAGACAUAAAAGGUAAAAGCGUUCCAGAGACAUUUUCAUUCAGUGCAGAAGUAAGCGUUAACAGAAACAUCGAUGCUGGCCACUCGGAUGUGAAGGAAACACGUCCUGACCAAGAUGUUAAUUUUAAUGAGGAUGAAAAGCAGGUGUUAAAAUCUAGUGUUUUGGAUUCUGAGGUUCCUCCAUUGUGUUGCAGUGGCCGUAAUUUCGACUCUGAGUUUGCAGGCACAUCAUCAGUUGGUGAACUGCUAGUCUUAAUUGAGAAGCCUAGUAAAACUUGUGUCAAAUGCAGGCCAGUGAUUACUAUAGAGCAUGCAUGCUCAUCGGAGGAAGAGAACAUGAAUGAGGCACCAUAUUUUGAAGGUCUUACCAUGAAUGGGUCCUGGCAACAUUUAAGAAUAAACAACACACUACAUCCUUCUGAAGUAAAUGUGUCUCCUGAACUGGACCACAGCCGGUGUAAUGAGCCCUUACUGAUUCAGACGGCAGUUUCUAUGGUGCAAGCAGCCAUUCGUGGUGCUGUGGAGCAACUCACAAUCGAGCAGCAGCAUAAUCAGAUAAGUUUGGACCAUGCGUAA